GUAGCCCAAGAGAUCGGGAUAACACCUGGAAACAGAUGCUAAUACCGGAUAACAACAGAUGAUGCCUAUCAACUGUUUAAAAGAUGGUUCUGCUAUCACUCUUGGAUGGACCUGCGGUGCAUUAGCUAGUUGGUAGGGUAACGGCCUACCAAGGCGAUGAUGCAUAGCCGAGUUGAGAGACUGAUCGGCCACAUUGGGACUGAGACACGGCCCAAACUCCUACGGGAGGCAGCAGAC
rnacentral:rRNA from 1 species